rnacentral:rRNA from 1 species
GGCAACGCGGUGUGUGGGGGGGGGGUAGUACUGAGGGUGCGUGGGUUAAGUGGAAUGACUGGGCGUAAAGGUGGCGCGGGCGGCCGCGCAAGUCGAGGGUGAAAGCCCCGGGCUUAACGUGGGAAUUGCGCUCGAAACUACGUGGCGCGAGUGUGGCAGAGGAAGGUGGAAUUCAACGUGUAGCGGUGAAAUGCGUAGAGAUGUGGAGGAACACCGAUGGCGAAGGCAGCCUUCUGGGCCAACACUGACGCUCAUGCACGAAAGCGUGGGGAGCAAACAGGUUUAGAUACCCGAGUAGUC